UCUACCUUGGAUGGCAUUCUUGACCAGUACGGGUGUCGGGAUAACGGGGAGAAGGCAGGAAAAUGGGGUUAAGAGGGAAAGAUAGAUCAGCCAUGGUUGAAUGA